UCCCAGGGGGGCAACUCCCUGGGGGAAGUGGCGAAAGGGGCAGUAAGGCGUGGGUAACCUGCCCCGGAGUACGGGAUAGCCUCUCUAACGAGAGGGUAAUACCGAAUGCCAUGGCGGGAGGGCAUCCUCCUGUCAUGAAAGCUCCGGCGCUCCGGGAGGGGCCCACGUGGUAUUAGCUAGAUGGUAGGGUAACGGCCUACCAUGGCAAAGAUGCCUAGCAGGUGUGAGAGCACGACCUGCGCCACUGGCACUGGGACACUGGCCAGACUCCUACGGGAGGCUGCAGUCGAGGAUCUUCGGCAAUGGGCGCAAGCCUGACCGAGCGACGCCGCGUGUGCGAUGAAGGCCUUCGGGUUGUAAAGCACUGUCGGGGGGGAGAAAAGCCCGCAAGGGCUUGAUCGACCCCCGGAGGAAGCACGGGCUAAGUUCGUGCCAGCAGCCGCGGUAAGACGAACCGUGCUAACGUUGUUCGGAAUCACUGGGCUUAUUGAUUAGGCCACCCUGCCGGUGACGGCAGGGGUUUAACCUCUCUGUAUGCUGGAAACCCCGAGUAUCCCACAGUACGCAGGACUCUGCGUGACAAUCUGCUGGGUGCGGACGAUCAGCAGGCAACGACCUGCCCCGCGAAGGGGCCAGGGUAAGGAGCCUCAGAGACUGAACGAGAGGCCCCCUCCUCCGCCAAGGAGCAGGGGUGAUGAUACAGUCCGUGCUGCAUGGCGACAUGCANAGACUGGCAGAAAUGACCAGUCCCUUGACCGUCCGGUCAGAGGUAACAAGCAGUAAAGGGCGCGUAGGCGGGCACGUAAGUCAGGGGUG
rnacentral:rRNA from 1 species